GACGAACGCUGGCGGCGUGCUUAACACAUGCAAGUCGAACGGAAAGGCCCUGCUUUUGUGGGGUGCUCGAGUGGCGAACGGGUGAGUAACACGUGAGUAACCUGCCCUUGACUUUGGGAUAACUUCAGGAAACUGGGGCUAAUAUCGGAUAGGAGCUCCUGCUGCAUGGUGGGGGGUGGAAAGUUUCGGCGGUUGGGGAUGGACUCGCGGCUUAUGAGCUUGUUGGUGGGGUAGUGGCUUACCAAGGCUUUGACGGGUAGCCGGCCUGUGAGGGUGACCGGCCACAUUAGGCCUGAGGUACGGCCCAGACUCCUACGGGAGGCAGCAGUGGGGAAUAUUGCACAGUGGGCGGAAGCCUGAUGCAGCAACGCCCCGUGCGGGAUGACGGCCUUCGGGGUGUAAACCGCUUUCGCCUGUGACCAAGCGUGAGUGACGGUAAUGGGUAAAGAAGCACCGGCUAACUACGUG
rnacentral:rRNA from 1 species